UGAGAUUACACAGUAUUUGUCUUUCUGUGCCUGCAUUACUUAGCAUAAUGCACUCCAGGUCAACCCAUGUUGUUACUGACAGGAUUUUCUUCUUCUUCUUCUUUUUUUUUUUUUUUUGUUAAGGCUGAAAAAUACUACAUUGUAUUUAUAUGUCAUAAUUUAUCUAUGCAUCUGUUGGACAUUUAAAUUGUUUCCACAUCUUGACUAUUGUGAAUCAUGCUGCAAUGAAGACGGAAGUGCAAAUAUCUCUUGGACACUGGUUUCAUUUCCUUUAGAUAUACUCAGAAGUGAGAUGGCUGGGUCAUAUGGCAGUUCUAUUUUUUAAUUUUUUCAGAAAAUUCCAUAUUUUCCAUAAUAGCUGUACCAAUAUACAUUCUCACUAACAGUAUACAAGGAUUCCCUUUUCCCCAUAUCCUUGCCAAUACUUGUCAUCUGUUGUCUUUUUUGUAAUAGCCAUCUUUUUU
rnacentral:lncRNA from 10 species